AGAAGUCGUAACAAGGUUUCCGUAGGUGAACCUGCGGAAGGAUCAUUGUCGAAACUUGCCAAGCAGAACGACCCGCGAACUUGUAUACAUAGCAGGCACGGGGGGUGCUUUGUGGCGGGCUUGANUGCCCCCACUCUCUGGCCCCCCACCGGGUGCGUUGUUUGAACUGCGUUCCUCGGCUAAAAACAAACCCCGACGCGAAUCGCGUCAAGGAACUCGAACAAGAGAAGAGAAGUGCGCCCCCCGGUUCUNGUUCNCGAGCGAAGCUUAUGGGGGGUAGCAGUCGCAUCUUCGAUGAACAUAACGACUCUCGGCAACGGAUAUCUCGGCUCUCGCAUCGAUGAAGAACGUAGCGAAAUGCGAUACUUGGUGUGAAUUGCAGAAUCCCGUGAACCAUCGAGUCUUUGAACGCAAGUUGCGCCUGAAGCCAUUAGGCCGAGGGCACGUCUGCCUGGGCGUCUCACAUCGCGUCGCCCCUCGCCCUGUAUCCCACAAAGGGUUCUUGGGUUGAUGGGGGGCGGAUUUUGGCCUCCCGUGUGUGCCCUAGUGCACGGUCGGCCUAAAGAUGAGUCCCUGGCGACGAACGUCACGACGAGUGGUG
rnacentral:sRNA from 1 species